UACGUAGGGUGCAAGCGUUAAUCGGAAUUACUGGGCGUAAAGCGUGCGCAGGCGGUUUUGUAAGUCUGUCGUGAAACCUCCGGGCUCAACCUGGGAAUUGCGAUGGAGACUGCAAGGCUUGAAUCUGGCAGAGGGGGGGUAGAAUUCCACGUGUAGCAGUGAAAUGCGUAGAGAUGUGGAGGAACACCGAUGGCGAAGGCAGCCCCCUGGGUCAAGAUUGACGCUCAUGCACGAAAGCGUGGGGAGCAAACAGG
rnacentral:rRNA from 1 species